rnacentral:rRNA from 1 species
UACGUAGGGUCCGAGCGUUGUCCGGAAUUAUUGGGCGUAAAGGGCUCGUAGGCGGUUCGUCACGUCGGGAGUGAAAACUCGGGGCUUAACCCCGAGCCUGCUUCCGAUACGGGCAGACUAGAGGUAGGCAGGGGAGAGCGGAACUCCUGGUGUAGCGGUGGAAUGCGCAGAUAUCAGGAAGAACACCGGUGGCGAAGGCGGCUCUCUGGGCCUUACCUGACGCUGAGACGCGAAAGCGUGGGGAGCGAACAGG